AGCUAAUACUUGCUUUAGCACUCUUGAUUUAUUUCUUGAGUGUGUACUUGUUAAGCCUUAUAAGAAAAGAGUUAUUAACUUAAGGAAUUAUAACAAAGAAGUAACACGUAAUGGAUCAUUCCAUUUUUAGUGUGUAUCAAUCGAGUUUCUGACCUAUCAGCUUUUGAUGUUAGGGUAUUGGCCUAACAUGGCUAUGACGGGUAACGGGGAAUUAGAGUUCGAUUCCGGAGAGGGAGCCUGAGAAAUAGCUACCACAUCUAAGGAAGGCAGCAGGCGCGUAAAUUACCCAAUUCUAAAGAAGAGAGGUAGUGACAAGAAAUAACAAUACAAGGCCAAUCUGGCUUUGUAAUUGGAAUGAUGGGAAUUUAAAACCUUCCCAAAAUUCAAUUGGAGGGCAAGUCUGGUGCCAGCAGCCGCGGUAAUUCCAGCUCCAAUAGCGUAUAUUAAAAUUGUUGCAGUUAAAACGCUCGUAGUUGAAUUUCAAAGAAUCGAUAUUUUAAGUAACGCUUCUAGCUACAAAUCCACAUAACUGAUGCCUCCGCGUAUCGACUUUGUGCGCAUUUUAGCUAUUAUGUGUUCUUUUAAUUAAAAUGAUUCUUUUUAAGAUUCAUCUAUUACAAAUUUGCUUCGGCAUAAUUUUUUUGAUGAUCUUGUUACUUUGAGUAAAUUAGAGUGUUCAAAGCAAACAGAUAUAGCAUUUGUGCGUUUGAAUACUACAGCAUGGAAUAACAAAAUUGAACAAGUCAGAAUUUUUUUGUUCUUUUUUCUUAUUUUGGCUUAGUUACGAUUAAUAGGAGUAGCUUGGGGGCAUUUGUAUUCAGAUGUCAGAGGUGAAAUUCUUAGAUUUUCUGGAGACAAACAACUGCGAAAGCAUUUGCCUAAAAUACUUCCAUUAAUCAAGAACGAAAGUUAAGGGAGUGAAGACGAUCAGAUACCGUCGUAAUCUUAACCAUAAACUAUGCCGACUAGGCUUUGGAUGAAAGAUUUUAAAAUAAGAGUUUU
rnacentral:rRNA from 1 species